rnacentral:rRNA from 1 species
UGGGGAAUAUUGGACAAUGGGCGAAAGCCUGAUCCAGCCAUGCCGCGUGUGUAAAGAAGGUCUUCGGAUUGUAAAGCACUUUAAGUUGGGAGGAAGGGCAGUAAGCGAAUACCUUGCUGUUUUGACGUUACCGACAGAAUAAGCACCGGCUAACUCUGUGCCAGCAGCCGCGGUAAUACAGAGGGUGCAAGCGUUAAUCGGAAUUACUGCGCGUAAAGCGCGCGGAGGUGGUUCGUUAAGUUGAAUGUGAAAGCCCCGGGCUCAACCUGGGAACUGCAUCCAAAACUGGCGAGCUAGAGUAGGGCAGAGGGUGGUGGAAUUUCCUGUGUAGCGGUGAAAUGCGUAGAUAUAGGAAGGAACACCAGUGGCGAAGGCGACCACCUGGGCUCAUACUGACACUGAGGUGCGAAAGCGUGGGGAGCAAACAGG